rnacentral:tRNA from 2 species
ACCUGGCUGGCUCAGUUGGUAGAGCAUGUGACUAUUGAUCUCAGGGUCAUGAGUUUGAGCCCCAUGUUGGGUA